UCUGAUUCACAUGUAAUUUUUUUGCAGCGACGACACAGUUGAAAUAACUCCUUCGUGGAGGCUGGCUACAUUUUCACAACGUCUGGUCCCAAGCUAGAUCUUCGGGAAAAGGGAUCAAGGAAAUGACUAUUCCUCCAAAUAAAAUGCAACAAGAAGAAUGAAAAAACGUAGAAGAGAAAGCCUCGUGAAACUGAGAAGCAUCUGCAACCACAAACUACAAAAUGUAGCUGCUAAACAAAAUGAAAGUUGGAUCAAAGUGGUGGCAAAUAUCAAGAGUGAAUAUACUCCACGGCAGAGUACUGCAAAUGCUGCACAUCUUUCAUGGAUUCUGGUCCACCUCGUCCUCACGCGGGGAUGCAGACUGACAAGCUUCCACCAUGAAGGGUUGUCAUUUGCCAUAGCAGGGAGAGGAAAAUGGAGCAAAUCAGUCACCAGCUCGUCAUACAGAAGAGUGUCCCACGUCAUAUCUGCUGAUAUGUUAUGGCCAAAGUACAUGACUAUCUCCAAGGAGCUGAGAGGUGAAAUUCGGACAUUUGUCUGGACGGAGUAGAACCAAGAGAGUCGUAAACAUCCUGUGGACUACACACCGUUUAACAAGAUGCAACAGUAUUCUGGGUAAGAGAUCAUGGAGAGGCAUUUAUGAAAGCAUUUUUAAAUCAAAUACAAUUAUUACAAUUUGUCGAUUAAUUGGAUGUGAGAAUGGAGGGAGAUGGAAGAGUCAGGGAUCAUUUCCCUGUGAUGGAAAGGACAACUGGAUAAAUGCUGUAAAGUGUCCUGAGUUAGAGAAUGUAGAAGAUAUUUUGGAGUGGGAGGGAACAUUCAAACAGAGAUGUCUAGUACAUAGCUGGAAAUGAGAUCAGAAGAGAGGUCUGGG
rnacentral:lncRNA from 10 species